rnacentral:tRNA from 1 species
GUUGUCGUGGCCGAGUGGUAAGGCGAUAAAAUUGAAAAUCUUUUGGGAUUUUCCGCGCGCAGGUUCGAUUCCUGCCGACAUCG